GAACAGACUGGAAUCUAAACUACUGCCAGCCUAUAACACAUGUACCAAGCAGGCUCAAGUCGAUUCUAGGGACACUAUCCGUGCAACAACACAGACAGGCGUCGGUGGUGUAUAGACUUCUUGAACCAUUACCGGCGGCGGCGUGCGUGGGCUGGACUCUGGACAGGUGAGGAUGAGGAUCUACUAACAAAGUAACCAAUGAUGUGAGGGUGUCAGACUCUGCGGAGAAGAUGGAGCUGAAAGAAAACAAGAACCAGAUGAAGAAAAGUAAAGACAACAAAGAAGACGUCUCCUGUGAGUCAUUAUACAAUUGUGUAUAUGACAAUUUAGUUUCCUGACUGUCCCAUCAGAGCUGG